AAAACGGCCCUUUUCAGGGCCACCUUAAGCCACAGAUAAUAGAGU
rfam:Macrostomum lignano uti_cns_0017222, whole genome shotgun sequence.